GAGGAAUAUUGGUCAAUGGACGGAAGUCUGAACCAGCCAAGUAGCGUGCAGGAAGACGGCCCUAUGGGUUGUAAACUGCUUUUGUAUGGGGAUAAAGUCAAUCACGUGUGAUUGUUUGCAGGUACCAUACGAAUAAGGACCGGCUAAUUCCGUGCCAGCAGCCGCGGUAAUACGGAAGGUUCGGGCGUUAUCCGGAUUUAUUGGGUUUAAAGGGAGCGUAGGCCGGAGAUUAAGUGUGUUGUGAAAUGUAGACGCUCAACGUCUGACUUGCAGCGCAUACUGGUUUCCUUGAGUACGCACAACGUUGGCGGAAUUCGUCGUGUAGCGGUGAAAUGCUUAGAUAUGGCGAAGAACUCCGAUUGCGAAGGCAGCUGACGGGAGCGCAACUGACGCUGAAGCUCGAAGGUGCGGGUAUCGAACAGGAUUAGAUACCCUGGUAGUCCGCACAGUAAACGAUGGAUGCCCGCUGUUGGUACCUAGUAUCAGCGGCUAAGCGAAAGCAUUAAGCAUCCCACCUGGGGAGUACGCCUGCAACGGUG
rnacentral:rRNA from 1 species